rnacentral:rRNA from 1 species
GACGAACGCUGGCGGCGUGCCUAAUACAUGCAAGUUGAGCGCUGAAGGUUGGUACUUGUACCUACUGGAUGAGCAGCGAACGGGUGAGUAACGCGUGGGGAAUCUGCCUUUGAGCGGGGGACAACAUUUGGAAACGAAUGCUAAUACCGCAUAAAAACUUUAAACACAAGUUUUAAGUUUGAAAGAUGCAAUUGCAUCACUCAAAGAUGAUCCCGCGUUGUAUUAGCUAGUUGGUGAGGUAAAGGCUCACCAAGGCGAUGAUACAUAGCCGACCUGAGAGGGUGGUGGGCCACCUUGGGACUGAGACACGGCCCAAAAGCCUACGGGGGGCAGCAGUAGGGGAGCUUCGGCAAUGGUCGAAAGUCUGACCGAGGAACGCCGCGGGAGGGAAGAAGGUUUUCGGAUCGUAAAAAUCUGUUGGUAGAGAAGAACGUUGGUGAGAGUGGAAAGCUCAUCAAGUGACGGUAACUACCCAGAAAGGGACGGCUAACUACGUG